UACAGAGGGGGCAAGCGUUAUUCGGAAUUAUUGGGCGUAAAGGGCGCGUAGGCGGCCAUUCAAGUGACGGGUGAAAGCCCUCGGCUUAACCGAGGAACUGCCUGUCAGACUGGAUGGCUUGAGACCGGGAGAGGUGAGUGGAAUUCCCAGUGUAGCGGUGAAAUGCGUAGAUAUUGGGAGGAACACCAGUGGCGAAGGCGGCUCACUGGACCGGAACUGACGCUGAGGCGCGAAAAGCGUGGGGAGCAAACAGGG
rnacentral:rRNA from 1 species